CAAUAGCGUAUAUUAAAGUUGUUGCGGUUAAAAAGCUCGUAGUUGGAUUUCUGCCGAGGACGUCCGGUCCGCCCUCUGGGUGUGUACAUGGUACGGCCUGGGCAUCUUCUUGGAAAACGUAUCUGCACUUGACUGUGUGGUGCGGUAUCCAGGUCUUUUACUUUGAGGAAAUUAGAGUGUUUCAAGCAGGCCUACGCCUUGAAUACAUUAGCAUGGAAUAAUAAGAUAGGACCUCGGUUCUAUUUUGUUGGUUUCUAGAGCUGAGGUAAUGAUUAAUAGGGGUAGUUGGGGGCUUUCGUAUUUAACUGUCAGAGGUGAAAUUCUUGGAUUUUUGGAAGACGAACUACUGCGAAAGCAUUUACCAAGGAUGUUUUCAUUAA
rnacentral:rRNA from 1 species